AUUGAACGCUGGCGGCAUGCCUUACACAUGCAAGUCGAACGGCAGCGGGGGAGAAGCUUGCUUUUCCUGCCGGCGAGUGGCGAACGGGUGAGUAAUACAUCGGAACGUGCCCUGUAGUGGGGGAUAACUAGUCGAAAGAUUAGCUAAUACCGCAUACGACCUGAGGGUGAAAGUGGGGGACCGCAAGGCCUCAUGCUAUAGGAGCGGCCGAUGUCUGAUUAGCUAGUUGGUGGGGUAAAGGCCUACCAAGGCGACGAUCAGUAGCUGGUCUGAGAGGACGAUCAGCCACACGGGGACUGAGACACGGCCAAGACUCCUACGGGAGGCAGCAGUGGGGAAUUUUGGACAAUGGGCGAAAGCCUGAUCCAGCAAUGCCGCGUGUGUGAAGAAGGCCUUCGGGUUGUAAAGCACUUUUGUCCGGAAAGAAAUGGCUCUGGUUAAUACCUGGGGUCGAUGACGGUACCGUAAGAAGAAGCACCGGCUAACUACGUGCCAGCAGCCGCCGUAA
rnacentral:rRNA from 1 species